GUUUUUAUAGUGUCUUAUUGCACAUUAAGUUUUCAUCUUAAAAGUAUAAAUUAAAUUUAUUAAAAAUA
rnacentral:tRNA from 1 species